rnacentral:rRNA from 1 species
UACGGAGGGUGCAAGCGUUGUUCGGAAUCACUGGGCGUAAAGGGCGCGCAGGCGGUUUUAUAAGUCAGAUGUGAAAGCCCACGGCUUAACCGUGGAAGAGCAUUUGAAACUGUGAGACUUGAGUACCAGAGGGGAAGGUGGAAUUCCCGGUGUAGAGGUGAAAUUCGUAGAUAUCGGGAGGAAUACCGGUGGCGAAGGCGACCUUCUGGCUGGAUACUGACGCUGAGGCGCGAAAGCGUGGGGAGCAAACAGG